rnacentral:rRNA from 1 species
CCUACGGGUGGCUGCAGUGGGGAAUAUUGGACAAUGGGCGAAAGCCUGAUCCAGCCAUGCCGCGUGUGUGAAGAAGGCCUUCGGGUUGUAAAGCACUUUCAGUGGGGAAGAAAGCCUUGGGGCUAAUACCCUCGAGGAAGGACAUCACCCACAGAAGAAGCACCGGCUAACUCCGUGCCAGCAGCCGCGGUAAUACGGAGGGUGCGAGCGUUAAUCGGAAUUACUGGGCGUAAAGCGCGCGUAGGCGGUCUGAUAAGCUGGUUGUGAAAGCCCCGGGCUCAACCUGGGAACGGCAUCCGGAACUGUCAGGCUAGAGUGCAGGAGAGGAAGGUAGAAUUCCCGGUGUAGCGGUGAAAUGCGUAGAGAUCGGGAGGAAUACCAGUGGCGAAGGCGGCCUUCUGGACUGACACUGACGCUGAGGUGCGAAAGCGUGGGUAGCAAACAGGAUUAGAUACCCCAGUAGUC